CGCGUUGCUGCCUCCAGGGACUCUCCCAGGGGAGACCCGCGCGCUCCUGGCCUCGAGGAAGUCGCGGUGGGAACAAUGGACUCAGACCCCACCCUGCUCAUAAAUGGAGGAGCUUUGGUACCUACACCACAGGUGGAUGUGAGGAUUAAAUGAGAUCAUCUAUGUGGAAGAACAUAUCCCUGGACACAAGUGAGAAGAGUGAGGACGGUGUGGGCGAUUGGAAAAUGCCCACCCCCCUCAAGAUAUGUCGACAGC